GUUUUAUUUAACUCAAUCAGUACCUUCUGCCAGCCUACUCGGGAUCCAGUGUGCACACUCAAGAAACCAUCCCUCUGUCCUCAUGGCUUAAUGUGAUCGCUGGGGAAACAGAGUGCAAAAUAAAAUUUGACACUGUUACAGUUUAGAUCUAAAAUGUCACCCAGAAGUCUCAUGUGUUCAGAGGUGGGACUCUGGGAAGUGGAUUGGAUUGGGAAGGUGAUAUACUGAUCCACUGAGCCAUUCGUGGCUGACUGUGCUGUUCGGCAGGGCCUAGUUGGAAGAGGUGGGUCAUGAGGGUGGGACCUGGAAGGGUGUAUGCUUGUCCCAGCUCCUCCUUCUCUCUCUGCUUCCUGAUUGCCCUGAGGUGAGCAGCUUUUCUCUGACAGGCCCUUCCACCGUGAUGUUCCUGCCUUGAAGUGAGCCGACCAUGGACUGACACACCCGAUCCACAAGCCAAAUUAAUUUUCUCCCUCUCAGUUGCAAGUGUCGCUAUUUUGUCUUAGUGAUGGGAGAGCUAACACAGACAUUUUACAGAAGGGUAUAUGGAGUACCCUGGGAGAAGAAGCAAGGACAUUCAAAUUGAAUUUCUUAUUGUUUUUCAGAAGUGGAAACUGAAGCUCAGAGCAGAGAAGUAACUCUCCAGAGUUGUCACAGUGUUUAGGAGCAGAGGCAGGGCUGGAGCCCAGUCCCAAGGCCCACACUGACACCUCUGCUGGGGUUGUGCCAGGCCUCCCAUGGGACCCAUCUUUCCAGACACGGCAGGAGGUGUGGUAGCCAAGAACUCCGCCUCAAGUCACACAGGCUCCAGUGGACACUAUGUCCAGAGGCCUCUUCUAGAGGAGACUGGGAUCCGCACUGCAGCCAGGUCACCUGGAGAGGCCGGUGGAGUGGACGAAGCAGGCAAAGGCGGCAACAGAGUAGAGGUGCUGUCCAGGAGCUUCCGAGUCUCAGUCCCCACCAGGCGGGGCUGGGAGGCUCCCAGCGGCCGUCUGGCCUGCAGAUGCCACCAUGGAUACAGCAGAUCAAAUGAUGCAAGCAGUUACUGCCCUUUUACAGUUCAAGUGACAUCCAGGCCCCGGUGGACGCCAAGACCUCUAGGAGUAGAAGCCAGCGUCUCUACAGGCAGCUGUCACAGGAAUUCAACAGUGAGCGCCCCACGGCAGGUCUGCUCAGGUUCCCUCUACUCUUGCCCCAACCCCCAAGGUGUCUGUGUGUGCGAUCACCACAGCCAGCCCUACGCUCCAUUUUACAAAUGGAGAAACAGAUCAGAGCAGGGUGUGAGCCCUCCAAUUUCACACCAGCAACUGGUUGACCCCUGAGGAGACUCCAGGCCACCUGACAUGCAGUCACACCUUCCACACCUCUGGUUGUCUCCUUGUUUGGUGGCCUGGUGGGAGGGCAGAAGAGCCAGGGGGCAUGGCUGUUCAGCUUUGAUUGAUAGCAACCAUCAGUAAUCUGUUAGAUAGCCACAAACUAUCAUGGGCUUCACACUGAAACCUCAUAUCAACUCUGGAAGUAAAUUGUCUCAUUUGUCAUAACAGGACUCUGAGUCUCUGAAAGGCUAAGACUUGCCUGAGGUCCCCAGGCUGGGACACCAUGGAGCUGGGAGGACUUGAAUAGUAGUCCACAUGCUCUUGGCCCAUGGCUUCACUGUAGGUCUCUUGCAAGCACCAGGCUAUGGGACAUGCUUUUGGAAGUUCUGGAAGCGACUCCCGGUGGCCAAGCGGUGUCCACUGUGGUUGAGGGUGGGUCAGGGAAGGGUUCAGGUUGUUGAGAGUCCUGUGGGCCUCAGGACAGAGGGGGUGACUGACCUGAUUCUCCUGCCUGGGCUGCCCACCCUGACCCUCUCAGACAUUCCUCAUCGUAGGUGAAAUGGGGUAUUCCCAGAGGAGUGGGGUGUGGUCAGGGCGCAGGGAAGACAAAGGAUUUAUAAGCUAGAGACCCCCAGCAUGCCUGUCACGACCCGGCCCAGGGUGCUCUUCACCCCGAGAUGAUCGUGCACAUGGGGGGUCUCCUCCUUCCUCC
ensembl:lncRNA